rnacentral:misc_RNA from 1 species
AACCUAGCACACCUGCGGUGUGUACCUGCGGAAGGAUCAUUACCGAACAACCACGCCCCCGCGCCGCUGUCGCCCGCGAUCUCGCGAUCGAGGGCGGCGCGCGCGGGGACGGACCCCUGUGAACGCGUUUCCGUCUUUGGUGUCCCCGAAGCCAAUCGAUCUCCGAUUGAUUGAUUGGGGCCCAAUCUUUUUCAUUUACCCCAUCUCUUCUGAAUGCUGACUGAAGUAAAGUCGAGGCAC